UUGCAGGAGCAGGGUGCGGCAGGCAGGGCUGAGGCGUUUGAUCUGAGAUCAGAGGUGGGGAAGGAAGCAAGGCCUCGCUUCAGUUCCCUUGCCAGCUGGGGUGGUUCAUCCCUGCUCGCACCCGCAGCGAUGAAAAUCGGUAUUUACAUAACACUGGUGGUUCACCUUGGAAGCACUCUGAUGGCAUGAGCGAGGCCUGUUCUGAAUGAAGUCGAGGGACACCUUGUCUGCCAGAGAGCUUUUCACCAUGGAGAUCUCUAGGUGCUGCUACCAUAAUCCUCAGAGGUUCAAUCCAGUUCUCUUUUAGAGGUCUGUCUGUAAAUCUGGGAAUGCAAAAGAGGUAAGUACAUUCCCCAUAGACCUAACAGCUUCCAGAUUGCAAGUCUAACAGUUUCAGUUCCCUCUAAUUUACAAAUGACUGUGCUUUGAAAUGUCAAAUUUCAGAAACAUUCAAGCAAAAAAAUAUAUGCCUAGGUAAGAUUUAGAAACAAGCAGCAAGCGCUUGUGCCCUUAUUGAUCGCAGACUUUCCCAUUCUGCACCUCCGAACUAAAUCAGUAAAAACUUUUUUUAACAAGACCAAAAUGAGAAGGUUCCCACGUCAAAACAGAACUAUCAAGACAAGUGGGUUUUGCAGCACAGUCCCAGCCAGCAGGCUGAUUUAAUUGAGGCUGGUUUAAAGAACUGAUAGUGGGAAGGAUUUUUCAUCAUGACACAAGUCUUUUUGCUGGUAUAUCUUAGGAAAAUGAUUCAUUAGGAUUCAGCACCAGCUAUUAGCUAGUUAGUAUGCUUAUUUAAUUAUCAUUAAAAAGGAGAGAGAGAGUAGGAGCGUAAUUGUGCAGCAAGCUCUUGCUAAGGGAGCAUCAGGAACCCACUAGUCACCCACCCUCCCCACUUGUUCUGGGCAGGCAGGUAAGCUCCAUCCUAGCUUUUUGGUGGAAGUGGUAAUUUCUACCAGCCUUGACUGGGUGUGGAUGGAGACAGCGCUCUCCCAGUUCUUCCAAUGCCCAUCCUCAGAAGAAAGAGCAUCAGAGAAGUAGUCCUCCACCAACCGAGCCAGUUACCUAAGCAAGAGCAAGGAAGCGGUAAGGGAAAGAGAUAAGAGAAUGGUUCACUUAUAUGAGUAUUUUAUCUCCAGUAAUGAUGUGCACAUUGAAAGAAUUUGCACAUAUGCUUUAUAGGUAGGAUAUAGAAGUAAAGGGGAAUUUAUUUUUUC
rnacentral:lncRNA from 1 species